rnacentral:rRNA from 1 species
AGUGAACGCUGGCGGUAGGCCUAACACAUGCAAGUCGAACGGCAGCACAGUAAGAGCUUGCUCUUACGGGUGGCGAGUGGCGGACGGGUGAGGAAUACAUCGGAAUCUACUUUUUCGUGGGGGAUAACGUAGGGAAACUUACGCUAAUACCGCAUACGACCUACGGGUGAAAGCAGGGGAUCUUCGGACCUUGCGCGAUUGAAUGAGCCGAUGUCGGAUUAGCUAGUUGGCGGGGUAAAGGCCCACCAAGGCGACGAUCCGUAGCUGGUCUGAGAGGAUGAUCAGCCACACUGGAACUGAGCCACGGUCCAGACUCCUACGGGAGGCAGCAGUGUGGAAUAUUGGACAAUGGGCGCAAGCCUGAUCCAGCCAUACCGCGUGGGUGAAGAAGGCCUUCGGGUUGUAAAGCCCUUUUGUUGGGAAAGAAAAGCAGCAGGUUAAUACCCCGCUGUUCUGACGGUACCCAAAGAAUAAGCACCGGCUAACUUCGUG